CCGUUGGAGUUUGAUCACGGCUCCGGAAAGUCGUAACAAGGUAACCAGUAGAGUUUGAUUCAUGGCUCAGGACGAACGCUGGCGGCGUGCCUAAUACAUGCAAGUCGAGCGGACAGAAGGGAGCUUGCUCCCGGAUGUUAGCGGCGGACGGGUGAGUAACACGUGGGUAACCUGCCUGUAAGACUGGGAUAACUCCGGGAAACCGGAGCUAAUACCGGAUAGUUCCUUGAACCGCAUGGUUCAAGGAUGAAAGACGGUUUCGGCUGUCACUUACAGAUGGACCCGCGGCGCAUUAGCUAGUUGGUGGGGUAAUGGCUCACCAAGGCGACGAUGCGUAGCCGACCUGAGAGGGUGAUCGGCCACACUGGGACUGAGACACGGCCCAGACUCCUACGGGAGGCAGCAGUAGGGAAUCUUCCGCAAUGGACGAAAGUCUGACGGAGCAACGCCGCGUGAGUGAUGAAGGUUUUCGGAUCGUAAAGCUCUGUUGUUAGGGAAGAACAAGUGCGAGAGUAACUGCUCGCACCUUGACGGUACCUAACCAGAAAGCCACGGCUAACUACGUGCCAGCAGCCGCGGUAAUACGUAGGUGGCAAGCGUUGUCCGGAAUUAUUGGGCGUAAAGGGCUCGCAGGCGGUUUCUUAAGUCUGAUGUGAAAGCCCCCGGCUCAACCGGGGAGGGUCAUUGGAAACUGGGAAACUUGAGUGCAGAAGAGGAGAGUGGAAUUCCACGUGUAGCGGUGAAAUGCGUAGAGAUGUGGAGGAACACCAGUGGCGAAGGCGACUCUCUGGUCUGUAACUGACGCUGAGGAGCGAAAGCGUGGGGAGCGAACAGGAUUAGAUACCCUGGUAGUCCACGCCGUAAACGAUGAGUGCUAAGUGUUAGGGGGUUUCCGCCCCUUAGUGCUGCAGCUAACGCAUUA
rnacentral:rRNA from 1 species